UGAAAAGCAAGUACUGUUUGUUGAGUGAC
rnacentral:piRNA from 1 species